rnacentral:rRNA from 1 species
UAGCGGGAGGCCUAACACAUGCAAGCCGAGCGGUGUUGUUUCUUUACCGGGAAAUGAGAGAGCGGCGUACGGGUGCGGAACACGUGUGCAACCUGCCUUUAUCUGGGGGAUAGCCUUUCGAAAAGGAAGAUUAAUACUCCAUAAUAUAUUGAUUGGCAUCAAUUAAUAUUGAAAGCUCCGGCGAAUAGAGAUGGGCACGCGCAAGAUUAGCUAGUUGGUGAGGUAACGGCUCACCAAGGCGAUGAUCUUUAGGGGGCCUGAGAGGGUGAUCCCCCACACUGGUACUGAGACACGGACCAGACUCCUACGGGAGGCAGCAGUGAGGAAUAUUGGUCAAUGGGUGCGAGCCUGAACCAGCCAUCCCGCGUGAAGGACGACUGCCCUAUGGGUUGUAAACUUCUUUUGUAUAGGGAUAAACCUACCCUCGUGAGGGUAGCUGAAGGUACUAUACGAAUAAGCACCGGCUAACUCCGUG